GACGAACCGUGCGAACGUUGUUCGGAAUCACUGGGCUUAAAGCGCACGUAGGCGGCUUUCUAAGUCAGGGGUGAAAUCCUGGAGCUCAACUCCAGAACUGCCUUUGAUACUGGAGAGCUUGAGUCCGGAAGAGGUGAGUGGAACUCCGAGUGUAGAGGUGAAAUUCGUAGAUAUUCGGAAGAACACCAGUGGCGAAGGCGGCUCACUGGUCCGGUACUGACGCUGAUGUGCGAAAGCGUGGGGAGCAAACAGG
rnacentral:rRNA from 1 species